rnacentral:rRNA from 1 species
UACAGAGGGUGCGAGCGUUGUUCGGAAUUACUGGGCGUAAAGCGCGUGUAGGCUGCUUGGAAAGUCGGAUGUGAAAGCCCUGGGCUUAACCCAGGAAGUGCACUCGAAACUUCCAAGCUCGAGUCCUGGAGAGGGUGGCGGAAUUCUCGGUGUAGAGGUGAAAUUCGUAGAUAUCGAGAGGAACACCGGUGGCGAAGGCGGCUACCUGGACAGUGACUGACGCUGAGACGCGAAAGCGUGGGGAGCAAACAGG